rnacentral:rRNA from 1 species
CAGCCGCCGCGGUAAUACGGAGGAUCCGAGCGUUAUCCGGAAUUAUUGGGUUUAAAGGGUGCGUAGGCGGAUAGAUAAGUCAGUGGUAAAAGACGGUGGCUCAACCAUCGCAGUGCCGUUGAUACUGUUUAUCUUGAAUAUGGAUGAGGUAGGCGGAAUGUGGCAAGUAGCGGUGAAAUGCAUAGAUAUGCCACAGAACACCGAUUGCGAAGGCAGCUUACCAAGGCAAAAUUGACGCUGAGGCACGAAAGCGUGGGGAUCGAACAGGAUUAGAGACCCCUGUAGUCCCUGUCUCUUAUAC